rnacentral:rRNA from 1 species
GCAUAUCAAUAAGCGGAGGAAAAGAAACUAACAAGGAUUCCCCUAGUAACCGCGAGUGAAGCGGGAAGAGCACAAAUUUUAAAUCUACCUGGUUUCCAGGUCGAGUUGUAAUUUGAAGAAACGUUUUUUACGUUCCGGGUUGGAUUAAAUCCUUUGGGAUAAGGUAUCAUGGAGGGUGAGAAUCCCGUGUAUACCAACCACUGGAAUGUUAUUAAUACGUUUUCUAAGAGUCGAGUUGUUUGGGAAUGCAGCUCUAAAUGGGUGGUAAAUUUCACCUAAUGCUAAAUAUAAGCGAGAGACCGAUAGUGAACAAGUACCGUGAGGGAAAGAUGAAAAGAACUUUGAAAAGAGAGUUAAAUAGUACGUGAAAUUGUUGAAAGGGAAACGGUUGAAGUCAGUCAUGCCGGCGGGAAUCAACUUAGGGGAAACUCUAAGUGCACUUCUUCGCUUGGCAGGUUAGCGUCGAUUUUGGAUGUCAUCAAAUGACUGGGGGAAGGUAGCUCCUUCGGGAGUGUUAAGCCCUUGGUAGAUGUGAUGUUCGGGAUCGAGGAUUUGCAACGGAUACCCUUUGGGUUAGCCCCCUGAUCUCUAAUGCGAAGUUGGGUUAUAGAGUAGCAUCUUCACUAUGAUCUGGUUUUCGGUUCACAUAUAUGAGUCUCACGCACGCU